AUUUUAUUUGCCAAAUUUGUCAGUAAUACUUCAAUAAAGCUGAAGAAGAAAAUUUUAAGAAAACAACUCUGCCACGCCCUCACAUCUGUCCCUGACCAGUCCCCCUCCCAUGACACUUCCAGACCACCUGCUCUUCUCUCCCAUCCCUUUCACCACACCCUCCUCUCUUCCUGCUGAAGUCUGCAGAUCUCGAAUAAAAUCAAACAGCUGAUUCUUCCUCCCCUAGUUCUCAGUGCUAUUCGCAGCUAGGCCUUAGGAAGAACACCAUCAUUAACGCUGCCCAAAUGGGCUUGUAUUUUUAAAAAAGUACUUUUAAACCAAAUGAAUCUUUAACUGAAGGGUGAGUUUUGUUUUCAUAUAUUUGUUUUUGAGUGUUUUUGCUUUAUAGAGGGUAACAAUACUAGGACCUCCCUUCUAGAAAGAACUGGCCUAAAGGAGGGGCCUCCUUUUUGCCUCUCUGGCUUCUCAUUGAAUCUUCAAAUGUGAUUAUGGGUAGAAUUACAUUGGGAAGCUUACUAAAAACACAGAACAAGGGCCCCACUCACCAUCUCACUCAGAGUAAAAGCCAGAGUCCUUAGAAUUGCUCACAAGGCCCCACGCCAUCUGGCCCUCAUCUCCUCUUAUCAUUCGCCACAUGGCUCCCUCUGCUCCAGCCCAACUGGCCUCUCCUGUUGUUUCCUGAAUACAUCCUGCAUGUUCCUGCCUCAGUUAAGGGCCUUUGCACUUGCUCGGUCUGCGACACUUGUCCCUGCGGCUCACUCCCUCACCCUCUUCAGGUCUUUACUCAACUGGUAAUCUCAGUGAGGUCUUCUAAAGUUCUGCACCCAAUUUCAGUGGGGGGUGAGGGUGUUCCCUACCACCAAGCAAUUCUCCGGACACCAGCUGGGUGUCCUACAAUUCAACUCAAUUCUGACACUGUCUGCCCAGAAAUAGCAACAGAUCCACAGGUUAAGUGCCGGUCCCGCCACCCGAUACUCACAUACACUUCAGAUGACGGUGAGUCCAGGUUGUCACCUGUGCUUCUGACCGAAUGGCUAUAGAUUGGAGGUUCCAAUAACCCCCUCAUUGGGUUCGAUUAACUAGCUAGAGUGGCUCACAGAACUCAGAGAAACAUUUUACUGACUGGAUUGCCAGUUUCUUAUAAAAGGAUAUAACUCAGGAUGGAAGAGAUGUAUAAGGCAAGGCAUGGGGAAAGGGUGCAGAGGUGCCAUGCUCUCUCUGAGGGCACCACUCUCCUGAAUCUCACCAGCUCAGAAGCUCCCUGAACCCUGUUCUUCUGGGUUUUCAUGGAGGCUCCAUUACAGAGGUAUGAGUGACUGAAACUACAGGCCCUUGGCGAGUGACUCAACCUCAUCCCCUCUGGAGGUCAGGGAGAUAGGACCGAAAGUUCCAACCCUCUAAUCACAUGGUUGGUUCUCCUGGCAACCAGCCCCAUCCUUAGGUUCGGUACAAAAGUCACUUCAUUAAUAUAACAAAAGACACCUCUGUCCCUCUCAUCACUCAGGAAAUUCCAAGGGAAUUUAACAGUUCUAUGCCAGCAACAGUGGAGAAGACCAAAUAUUUAUUAUAAUCACAGUGUCACACCUUCCCUGGACACUCUACCAAAAACUGCCACUCUCCCAAUACUUCCCAUUCCCUUCCCAGACUGACCAUUCUCUUUCACACUCACCAUUCAGUUAACAUAUGUUUUUCUUGUUUACUUUGACUAUUGUCUAUCUUGCCCACUAGAAUGUUAAAUUCCACUAUGGUAUUGUUGAAAGAACUAGGCCCAAGAUGGAGCCGCUCCUGUCCAGAGAGCCAAACCGAAACUUAGAUAACUUUCAUGUCCCUGUAAUGCUCUGCUUGACCAGAAACGCAGGCUAUCCAUUCAGCCAAUCCCCAAAUGCCCAGCCAACUCUGGGCUCUAGACUUACUUCCUUGUUCCUUGUCACCCCAAACAAGGCUGACUGGGGUGGCCCCAGCCCAUCAGAUGUUUUCUAUUUUCCUCUUUUGUUUGUUCUUUAUUUUUUAUCCUAUAAAAGCUUCCUGCCUUCCACCCCAUUUUGCUGACAGAAUGAAGACUGUCCACUUCAAGAAGUGUUAAAGUUUGUGUGUAUCACAUAAACUGUGGUUUUUAAUCAUUUUUCAAUAGUAUACAUUUUUAUUUUAGUCGCUGCUGUUUCCCCAGCAGCUAGAACAGUUCCUGGCACAUAGACGGCACUUAAUCAGUACCAUACAAGUGAUGACUGGAUUUCAUUUUAUCCUCACGCACUCCUGUGAGCACAUUGUUUCAUUCACUCCAUUAUUAUUCUGCGAGGCCUCAUGCUGUGAGUGGGGAACCCAGCUGAUGACCAUGAGAUAGACACAAGGCUCCCUCCUUCACAGGGUUCACAGGAUUUUGAAAUAAAGCAAACAAACAAGUACCUACAAUAACAAACUCCGAUAAGCCUAGAAACGGAAAGUACAGAGUGUUCCACACCAGGUGCUCUGCGUACGUCAUCUCAGUUGCCUCUCACAAGGGCAUCCUGAAGCAGCUGUUCUGCAGGAAACUAAAACCCAGAGAGCAGAAGUAUUCUGUCCAGACCUCAGACUCAAACCCAGAUCUGCUUCACUCUAAACCCCAUGGUCACUUAGGUCUCCCUUACGUUCGACCCCUAGAGAGGAAGUUAGUUACACUCUUGAGCUACAGGCCAAAAGGCAAUGAGAAAUUUAGGCGCACCAGUGUCACACUCCCCAAGGGGGAUGUCCCCUGCUGGGAUCGUCAUGGGACCUACUUGCAGCAAGCCCAGGCGUUUGAAGCCCUUCCCAUGAGGGAGCACAUUAUCUGGACUUUGGGAUUAAGACUCAGGGAGAGGGCAUGGGACAGGUUAAGAUUUCACUCUCCCAGGAGAGGAAAAUCUGAGGAUUCUGUCCACAUUUGAAGCCACAGAGAAGACUCCUCUUUCCUUGAUGCCGUUCACUUCCUCUCUUCUCUUACCAAAAAUAUACUUGGGAGUGCUUGCAGGAAGGAGAACACAGGGCCUUGGGGUGAAAAGCUUUCCUUCAGUGCCCAUGGCUCCAAACCUACUUGCGUCCUCUGAGGCAGGUUCAGGCGGCCAGUGGUGCAAUCCUCAGAUGUCAAUGCCAAAUGAGGCAGCUCCUUACAGCCUCCUGUAACAGCUCUCACUUCUCCAGAGCCCCUGAGGGUCCAGGCUCUGGGCUAACCCCUCCACAUGCACUACGUCCCACAUGAAGGAAGUCACUGUCUGUAUCCCCAUUUUAUAGACGAGCACACUGAGACUCCUAAGUAGUCGUCACUAGCUCAUAAAUAGCUCUUGUUCCUCUUAAAACACUAUGACUAACUGCAUUUUAUGUUCAUUUUGGCUGGAGUCUGGGGAGACCUCUGCAUACCAGGCGGCAGGACUGAUGCUCAGCUCUCUGACCAACGGAUGCUCAUGCCCAGCCUCACAGUCGGUCCAACGCCUCACACCGGAAGACAGGCGAGAAGGUGGAAACGCUACCACACCGGGGGAAUUACAAAGACCUGCCUAUGGCGGCAUGGAGCCAAGAUUAAACUCACGUCCAUCUCGGCUUCAGAGCUUAUGCCAAGCGGGAGGGGACACGGUCUGGGUAACCCAGGCUGAGCAGACGGCAGGCCAGGCCGGCUGCUCCGGCUCUUGGGGUGAUUUCCCCGCCCGCCGGCUUCCUAAGCGCACGAACCACACUCCCGAGAGAGCAGUGAACGCAUGCGUAAGGGGGGACAGCGGUAGCCACGGGGUCCAGCGCAGCCACAAACGGCAGCCUGUUGAGGGGUCGCAGCAGCGACAGCCGCUCGCCUCCAGCUCCAGUCGGGACGCUAAGAACGCGAGGGGCUAUGGUCCAGCGCCGCACUCGCUUGAGGGCAGAGGUAAGCCCGUACUUCCGUUACUUACUUCCGGUGAAUUCCGGGCGCCGCCGGAAACAGAAGGGGAUGAAGCAACCGAGCCGCCUGGGACCGGAAGUAGCAUACAGGGCGCCGCCAUUACAGACCGGAAGGAGCGGCAGGGCGCCGCCAUUAUGGGUUUGGCCUAAAGGGAAAGGGGCCGCUUGGCCGCUCUACGACCGGAAAAAAAGAGGCAAGGAGGGCUGGGCGCCGCCAUGACAACCUGACACCAGAAAAGGCGGGGUGUGCCUACCUGACUGAUCACCCACUGGCACCGGCCUCGAGAUUAGCCCUGUCCUCAGGCCUCAUCUCUAAGACUCUCUGGUCAAGAGACCUUCUCCAGGCCAAGACCUCACCUCUUGGGCCGCUAAACCUCACCUUUGGACCUCCAAACCCAUGUAAGGCUCCCAGGUUCUCUCCUUAGAACUCUAGAUCUUACUUCAAAGGCUCUCAGCUUUCUCUGCAUGAUUCCCGGGCCUACUGGAGGAUGCCUAGACUCCAAGACCCUUCCUCCAGGACCCCCAAGGCCUGCAUUAGAAUAAUCAGACCUCCUUUUAGCACCUCCACUAUCUCCGCAGAAGCCCCAGCCAGCUGCACAACCCCCAGGGCUUAUGCCUCACUUCUACACCUCCCUGACCCUACCCCAGGAUCCUUCAGUCUCCCAGAUCUGUACAAGACCCCUAAUCU